GCCGCUUAUCAUUGGAGCACAGCUUGGCCUUAGCAGUGUGUGUGUGUGAGUUUAUGUGUGUGUUUGUGUGCGCUAUCACUCCGCUAAAACACACUCAGCUAGGAAGGAGUCACAGGCAAGAAGAGGCAAAGCAUGACGAGUCGUGAGGUCACUCCCCGUAGAGGAGGAAGAGGAGGAAGAGGAGGAAGAGGAGGAAGCAGCAGCAGCAGCAGCAGCAGCAGCACACUGAACAUGCAGCUCUGAGAUUAUCCGCUGGGAUGUGAACAAAGCCGCUCGUGAAUACGGCCGUUUUAUGAACCGCCCGCUGCUACCGAAGACAAACGAGGAAGUUGUUGAAAAGGCCGUCGCUGAGCGAAAAGGACACACGGAGCUGGUGUGAGGGCGAGGACACCCGAGUCAGCUGGAAACGUAUCCAGGUCGUCUCCACAACGACGGAGGCUCGAGCCAUCCAUCAGCCGGGAAGUGUCGAGAAAAAUACAUGGUCCGGACAAGCCUGGGAGGGUGUGUGUGAGGUGGACACGAGGCAGCGGAGAUGCAGCAGGUGAGUUUGACACGUUCACCAGGCUGCACAGUUGGUGACGGCAGCGUGGAGCUUAACAGACCCCUCAGCUGACCUGGACGCUGACUGUCUGUCUGAACUAACUCCGCCAGGCUUCGCUUCGCUUCGCUCCGCUAUCAGAUGUGAGUUUCAGCCCAGUGAAUCUCAGCAGACACACAGCUGGCCCGGAGAGCCGCUGCCAAAAAAAGCACCGUCCUCCUCCAACCCUCAACCUCCAACUUCCCUGCUCCUCAGUGAGGUGUUUCCACUUCUGGAAAAUCCGUGAGUUUAACCGUCUGUGUCUCCUUAACCUUGAUUAGGUGGAUCUUAUUUCCAAACAGGUUUCAAGAAGCGUUGCCAAACUAACCUCAUGCCAAAUAAGAGGAAGCUUUAAAACCCGUCCUUCAUGAAAAAAAAACUGUUAUAUAGGUUAAAGAGGCUUUCUCUGCACACAAAACAAACUCUGAAUACACGGUUUUUCCUACAUUUCAAUGCCAGUGUUGGUCCCUAAACAUCGCACAGAGGAGAAAUCACAUGGUUUUUGUGUCUUUCGUUGCCAGAGGUGCACACAGUUAGUUUUUCUUUUAAAGUUUGUUAAGUGUGAUCUGCAAAAAUAGGGCUUAUUAUUAAUUAUAAAUAAAAAUUGGGGUUUUAAAAAAUGUUAACCAAAGCUGAAGUUUAGUUUGUUGCUUCUAGUUUUUCCUCUGAGUUUAUCAAAUACCUGCAGCAUCACACUGUGAAAAAAGAGAAAGUUGUGUAAAUGAGUUCACAUGGAGCAACAA